rnacentral:rRNA from 1 species
UGGGGAAUAUUGGACAAUGGGCGCAAGCCUGAUCCAGCAAUGCCGCGUGAGUGAUGAAGACCUUAGGGUUGUAAAGCUCUUUCGCACGCGACGAUGAUGACGGUAGCGUGAGAAGAAGCCCCGGCUAACUUCGUGCCAGCAGCCGCGGUAAUACGAAGGGGGCUAGCGUUGUUCGGAAUUACUGGGCGUAAAGGGCGCGUAGGCGGCCUGUUUAGUCAGAAGUGAAAGCCCCGGGCUCAACCUGGGAAUAGCUUUUGAUACUGGCAGGCUUGAGUUCCGGAGAGGAUGGUGGAAUUCCCAGUGUAGAGGUGAAAUUCGUAGAUAUUGGGAAGAACACCGGUGGCGAAGGCGGCCAUCUGGACGGACACUGACGCUGAGGCGCGAAAGCGUGGGGAGCAACAGGAUUAGAUACCCUGGUAGUCCACGCCGUAAACGAUGAAUGCUAGACGUCAGGGUGCAUGCACUUCGGUGUCGCCGCUAACGCAUUUAAGCAUUCCGCCUGGGGAGUACGGCCGCAAGGUUAAAACUCAAAUGAAUUGACGGGGUC